rnacentral:lncRNA from 1 species
AUCAUUUCUUCUGCUUACUACCAUCCUAAAUCAUUUUUCUUUAGUAAGAUCUAUUAGUGUGAAGCUAUUAAGCUAUUAAUGUAUGUAUCAUAUUAAUGUAUUAAGACAUUAAGUGAGGAAGUAAAGUUGCAUUCACAGGCCUUGAACUUUUCCACAUCUCGAUUUUUACCCAUCAUCUCUGCAUAGUUCCCUAAGGCAGCCUUCAAAUGGUGAUGUUUCUUAUAAUCCAGAGUUCAGAAGUGGCUUCUCUUCAAUCUUUCUGUGGAAUUCUAAACCACGUGAUAAAGGAGCUGGUGAGCCAGAUUUCCUUCUGCACCAGAGCCUGUGGAAGCGCCACAGUGGAAGCAGCAGAGACUGGAAGAGCAGGCAAGAAGCUGGGAGCUUUGCACUGAACCAGGAAGUCACCACAGCUCUUAGGCAAAGACCCGGAAAGGUGUCAACAUGGCCACACUACUGCUCCCACCUUGUCCUUACUUUCCUCAUCUCAUCCCACAGGCCACAGAUCAGCCCUGGGGUUCAGAGGGAUCCUGACAGCUACUCCUCAAGAUCCUCUCUGUUGUGAUUCAUCCCCCCGGGGCCCUACAGUUUCUCCUUCCUGACUCUUACAUUUCUUUGGAUGGCAUCAUUAUUGCUGGAGUGCAGUGAUGUGAUCUCGGCUCACUGCAACCCCUGCCUCCUGGAUUCAAGCAAUUCUCCUGCCUCACCCUCCCAAGUAGCUGGGAUUACAGUACCUGUCUCCUCCCAUAGUUAGGUGCCAAGCACUGUGGAUUCUGCCUCUCAGUGUCCAGACACCCAUUU